AAAGUUGUAACAAGGUUUCUGUAGGUGAACCUGCGGAAGGAUCAUUAUUGUGGGGCUCCGGCCCUGUUGAGAUAACACCCUUGCCUUUACAGUACCGCCUGUUUUCUUGGCAGGCUCGCCUGCCAAUGGGGACAACAAAACACCCUGAUAUUACCUGUAACCGUCUGAUAAAACAAACAAAAAUCAAAACUUUCAACAACGGAUCUCUUGGUUCUA
rnacentral:misc_RNA from 1 species